rnacentral:rRNA from 1 species
CUGAGAGUUUGAUCCUGGCUCAGAGCGAACGCUGGCGGCAGGCCUAACACAUGCAAGUCGAACGCCCUAGCAAUAGGGAGUGGCGCACGGGUGAGUAACGCGUGGGAAUGUACCCUUGGGUGCGGAACAACGUCGGGAAACUGACGCUAAUACCGCAUAAUAUCUACGGAUCAAAGAUUUAUCGCCCAAGGAUCAGCCCGCGUAAGAUUAGGUAGUUGGUGGGGUAAUGGCCUACCAAGCCUACGAUCUUUAGCUGGUCUUAGAGGAUGAUCAGCCACACUGGAACUGAGACAC